AAAUAAGAAGCAAUUAAUUGCAGCUAGUUUCGACCUAGAAGUUUGACUUUCAGUCCUUAUUUA
rnacentral:tRNA from 1 species